rnacentral:rRNA from 1 species
UACGAAGGGGGCUAGCGUUGCUCGGAAUUACUGGGCGUAAAGGGCGCGUAGGCGGCUAGUUUAGUCAGAGGUGAAAGCCCAGGGCUCAACCUUGGAAUUGCCUUUGAUACUGGCUAUCUUGAGUUCGGGAGAGGUGAGUGGAAUUCCGAGUGUAGAGGUGAAAUUCGUAGAUAUUCGGAGGAACACCAGUGGCGAAGGCGGCUCACUGGUCCAUUACUGACGCUGAGGUGCGAAAGCGUGGGGAGCAAACAGG